rnacentral:lncRNA from 1 species
CUGUUUGUGACGUCGAGAGUUUCUAGGAGAUGGGCCGUGAUGUUCCCUGUUCUGAGGGUAGGCACCUUGAUUCAUCUAGAAUGUUGGUUGUGAACAGUUUCACAGUUUUUGAAGCAUAUCGCUGAAAUGCUUUCCCAAAGAAUGGUGCCAGUUUCUACUCUAAUCAGUAAUAGAGAUGAAUAAACUCACUCUGGUGAACACGUUUAUUCAGUGUGUGGAGUUUACAAAAGGCUCAAGUCCCAUCACGAUGAAAGGAGGGUAUUUAUUCUCACCAUUUUGUCAUCAGGCUCAUUUAUACAUUUUCUGGGCCUUCUACUUUUUUCCUAUUCCUCAUAUCAAUCAGGGUGUUUUCAUAGAUGCACAACCCCUAGAAGAUGUAUAUAUCUUUGUUACAGGGAUGUGACUUUACACAUUUGUGGAGCUGGCUGAGCAGGCUCCCUAAGACUGUUGUCUUUGCGUCUGAUGCUGGAGCUGGAAGUCCACAGGGUGAGUGGUUGGGAAGGGAAGGGGAACAUUAAGUGGGAGGGCUGGGGAGCUAGCUGGAACGCACAAGCAUGAUCGAAGGAUGGACUGAAAGUUGUAUCUAUUAUUGUUGCCUCUAACCUUGGUGAUGAGAGCAUCCUGCAGAAUCCAGGGGCCUUCCUCAUGGAGCUAAUAGACACCCAUAUCUAGCCUGCCAGUUGGAGAAGGUGAAGAAGGAAUGGGGAAAGUGGAGCACUUGCAGACCCAGCCACUGCUUCAUGCCAACAAAAAAAAGCAAUGAGAACCUGGGCUGAGACAGUAGCAAAUGCACCCUUGCAUUUGGGAAAGUAGCCGGGUGGCAAAAUCAUGGGUGUGAAACAAUGCUCUCAAAUGUAGAAGCCAGAAGAACCCAGAGAGGGUAGAGGAAAUGUCUUCCUCCCCUACAGUAACAAACGAGCCCCCAAGUACAUAGUUAUAUAUUCUAGCUGUGAGUGCCUCUGGUUAUGGCAUGUGGGAUGCCGCCUCAUUGUGGCCUGAUGAGCAGUGCCAGGUCUGCGCCCAGGAUCCGAACUGGCGAAACCCUGGGCCACCCAAGCGGAGCGUGC